rnacentral:lncRNA from 1 species
GGAAAACUUCAAAAACCCCCCCUGUGGUUUCGUAGUUUCUCACUUUGCCCCCCUGUGGUUUAAAAUAUAUUAAUUUGCCCCCCUGUGGUUUUGUUUUUCUCUUUUUCUUAUCAAUUUCAUUAUUUUCUUUUCUUAAAUCAGUAAUAAAGUUAAAAUUAAAGGGUACUAAAGUGAAUAUUUGAUAAAUCUAGAUGGGUAUCUAAAGUUUUUUGUAUAUAAUUUAACGAAAUAUUAACGAAAAAGCUACCGAAAAGAUAAAAACGAAACCACAGGGAGGCAAAUUGAUAUACUUUAAACCAUAGGGGGGCAAAGUGAGAAACUACGAAACCACAGGGGGUUUUUUGAAGUUUU